rnacentral:rRNA from 1 species
AUUGAACGCUGGCGGCAGGCCUAACACAUGCAAGUCGAGCGAGUGGCGGACGGGUGAGUAAUGUCUGGGAAACUGCCUGAUGGAGGGGGAUAACUACUGGACACGGUAGCUAAUACCGCAUACCAUCGGAUGGGACCAGAUGUGAUUAGCUAGUAGGUGGGGUAAAGGCUCACCUAGGCAACGAUCCCUAGCUGGGCUGAGAGGAUGACCAGCCACACUGGAACGGGGACACUGUCCAGACUCCUACGGGAGGCAGCAGUGGGGAAUAUUGCACAAUGGGCGCAAGCCUGAUGCAGCCAUGCCGCGUGUAUGAAGAAGGCCUUCGGGUUGUAAAGUACUUUCAGCGAGGAGGCGUUACUCGCAGAAGAAGCACCGGCUAACUCCGUGCCAGCAGCCGCGGUAAUAC